UUUUGAUGAGCUAUUCUGCGUUCACCCAUCAUUUCUCUCGAUGUGUCGUCUGCCUCUGCCUCUGCCGCUACCGCUGCCGCUGCCGCUGCCGCUGCCGCCCGGUUGACAAACAUCGAUAAAACAAAUUGCUUUAAAGUUCGCCUCGUGGUAAAUUCUUUAAUUAAAACUGCGCAAUUUGGAGCUUCAUCAAAAAUGAUUGUGUAAUAAAAGGAGGAAUGUAUGUGAGCCGAAGUAACAACGAGAACUUGUUGUGAUGAACCAUAUAGACUUUGGAAUGGGGUGAAACCGGACAGCAAUGAUGGAUUAUGCUGUCAUCUAUUUGCACACGUAGCAAAUUGUGUCGACUAUAUGCAAUCGUGACCGGAGUAUACUGGUUAAUGUUUUUGAUAGAAUUCACUCAGUUAUCAAUCUUCUUGUACGUUCUUCGGUCACCCGUCGGAUGUGCGAAUGAAAUAUUGCCGGCAUUACAGCUUUCCAUUCUCUCGACUUCACUAUACAUUAAAAUCUUGAUCUACUCUACUCCCCGUGACUAAACUUUUCUUUCAUCAUAAUCAUAUUUGCAUGAUAUUACUAACAUCACACGAGAUUAUUUGGUAAAAGAUUAAAAAAUAUAUUAAUUCUCAAUUGCAUGAUCACCGCGUCUGGAUAAUUGAUAUUCUGAAAGACUAGUUGACUCUUUUAUUAAAGGGUCACAUUCGGAAGCGGUUGCUAGCUUUAAUCCAAGUUUUCAAAUCUUGACAUUAAGACAGUAUCGUAAAAUAGAUAAUUUAGGAAGGAGAGUUUACCAGGUUUACCUGCUCAUAAAGUUAAAAAUCGUAUCAAACUACGACUUGCGUUUAAACCGGUUUUCACAGGUGCUGUGUUUAGCUGUCGACUAGUGAAAUAAAAUAAUAGAUUAUAAGUUUUGACAUGCAUAUAGUUUGUAGUAGGUACCAUUGACCCAUAACGGUGAAGGGCUGUUAUUUUAAGAUUUCACCUUGUUAUUUUGUCAAAAAUCUUUUCUAUCUUAACUCAAUUAAGUGUAAAAUCCUAAAUUACAGCGAUUAUAGACCACAAUGCAAAAAAAUCUGUCACCAUAUUAUAUAUUAUUAAAAUGCAUCCGUGAAGGAAUAAAUCGUUUACGUUGGGAGCGAAUUUUCCGUUUGAAAACACACAUGAUACAUUGUAUUUUUUAUACGAUGUAUGUUCAUCAAUAACAGAAACAAAGUUUGUGGCAUUCGAUCAAUUUUGUGCACGCAUCUUUAUUAUUCAGGGGAACGUUUACCCGUGAUAGAAAAACUUGUUGAAGAAGAGAAUUAUAUGCAAGGGCAUGUUUUGGUGUCAUCUGUGAACUUUUUAACCAUUUUGAAUAAAUAAGUUGGGAGAACAAGAACGAACCUAAUUAAACGUACCGUUUUUGUAAUUUUUCAAUGAUCCGUGACCACGAAUAGAUUAAACAGAAUCGGAACCAUGUAUCGGAGUUUUUCUCAGGAACACAAUGUUGGGGCUUAAUCCGUAAUUUGAAUUGUUCCAGUCGGGCCAGUUGGUGAGUAAGAUUUUGUCCAUUGAUUUAUUAUUAAAGUGUAACGAGGAACACGGAUUGGGCGUUUGGGGUGGCGACCGCACGCCAUCUUGAGUGACAUUUCAUUUAACUCCUGUACUAGUUGUCACUCAGAGCACUAUUGGUGCAAAAGAGGACGGACGCGUUGUGACCCGAGUUGGAGUUAUCCAUGUGUGAUGCUGCUAAAUUACCUCCGGAGAUUACUGUUAUUGAUUAGAAAAGUAGCCCUUUUCGAGAUGAGACCUAAUGAUUAAUUGAGUUUUCGUGUAAUUGGAGUAAUGUGUCGUUCGAUUUGAUUAAUUCAAGAAGUGAUUCAAUUCGAACCACAUUUAGAGAUUGAUUUAUUCAUGCUAGCUGGCACAAAUGAUUGAACGAUUACUUUAUUGUUUAAUUUUCUCUACGUCAUUUUUCAAUUAAUUGCCGCCAGGUUUCUUUAAUUCUGUGAAAAAGGAGAUUUAUUUUCAAAAGACCCGUCAGGACUGCGGUCUCGUAAAUAUUUUUACUGUCCACUUGUCAAUUCAGAGUGAUCAGAAAAUUGAGAGGGUGCCACACAUUCACACAAUGGGAACAAUUGAAUUUCGAACUGGAUGCAAACUCAAUGCAUUAUCGGCAACAGAUUACUGUUUGUACGGAACAAAACAGGUGUAGUAACGUGUUACCCUUCGAACGGACACGUCUAUGCAAGACACCUGUAGAAUAUUAACACCCAUCUGAAAGGGCCAGCGACAACUCUCACAACAAAUUAAUUACAACCAUGAAUCUCAACAUCGCGCUCGCUAUUCAACAUCAUUGCAGGCCAUUUCACCGGAUUAUCAAAUCGUUAUUACAACCGUAUAGACAUCUUGGGUUUAGAGGAUUAGGUGGAUUCACUUGGAACGGUUGAUGGUGGAUUAGGAUGGCAAUUAGUCAUUCCUACACCGUUGCGUAAAUCAUCGAGAUUGUGAGAUAAGUUAGUACGUUAUAUGUUAAUAUUAAAGCAAUAUGGACAGGGGGGGCGUCAUCUCUCACCCGCAUGACUGUGUACUAUUACUAGGUGUAAUAAAGAACUUUCAACGA